CUGCAGUCGAGAAUCAUUCGCAAUGGGCGAAAGCCUGACGAUGCGACGCCGUGUGUGCGAAGAAGGCCUUCGGGUCUGUAAAGCUCUUUCGCCUGGAACAAGAAGAA
rnacentral:rRNA from 1 species